CCUACGGGGGGCUGCAGUGAGGAAUAUUGGUCAAUGGCCGGAAGUCUGAACCAGCCAUGCCGCGUGCAGGACGAAGGUGCCAAGCAUUGUAAACUUCUUUUGUCCGAGGACAAAAGCAGGCUCGAGAGCCUGACCGAGGGUACUUUACGAAAAAGCAUCGGCUAACUCCGUGCCAGCAGCCGCGGUAAUACGGAGGAUCCAAGCGUUAUCCGGAUUUAUUGGGUUUAAAGGGUGCGUAGGCGGAUUGUUAAGUCAGCGGUAAAAGCCCGGGGCUCAAGCCCGGAGAGCCGUGUAAACUGGUGGACUAGAGAGGUGGAGAGGUAUGCGGAAUGUGCAGUGUAGCGGUGAAAUGCUUAGAGAUU
rnacentral:rRNA from 1 species